AGUGAACGCUGGCGGCGUGCCUAACACAUGCAAGUCGAACGACCAGACGAUAAGCUUGUUCCUCUGACGUUAGCGACGGACGGGUGGGUAAGGCAUGCAUCACCUUCCUCUAAGUCGUGGAUAAUUUCGGGAAACAGGUGCCACUACCAGAUAAUAUAUCCAACCGCAUGAUUCAAUAGAUCUUCGCGCUUUUGCUGAUACUUUUAGCCGAGUUCGCAUUAGAUAGUUGGGUGGGUAAAGUCCCACCAAGGCGACGAUCCGUAGCCGGACUGAGAGGGUGAUCGGCCACACUGGAACUGAGACACGGUCCAGACUCCUACGGGAGGCAGCAGUGGGGAAUCUUGCGCAAUGGGCGAAAGCCUGACGGAGCAACGCCGCGUGAGUGAUGAAGGUCUUCGGAUCGUAAAGCUCUGUUGUUGGGGAAGAACAAAAGUGUAAGUAAAUAUGGACGUCUUGACGGUACCUAAUCAGAAAGCCCCGGCUAACUACGUG
rnacentral:rRNA from 1 species